UACGUAGGGGGCAAGCGUUGUUCGGAAUUACUGGGCGUAAAGGGCGCGGUAGGCGGCACGGCAAGUCAGGAGUGAAAGGCCUGGGCUCAACCGAGGAACUGCUUUUGAGACUGCCGAGCUAGAGUGCAGAAGGGGCAACUGGAAUUCCCAGUGUAGCGGUGAAAUGCGUAGAUAUUGGGAAGAACACCUGAGGCGAAGGCGGGUUGCUGGGCUGACACUGACGCUGAGGCGCGAAAGCCAGGGGAGCAAACGGG
rnacentral:rRNA from 1 species